GCCUGAGUGGCUCAGUCGGUUAAGUGUCUGACUUCGGCUCAGGUCAUGAUCUCACGAUUUGUGGGUUCGAGCCCCACGUUGGGCU
rnacentral:tRNA from 1 species